rnacentral:lncRNA from 1 species
UUUAUAUAUGGGAAAGUCCAAAGCUGUACUCAAACAUAAAACUUAAGCUUUGUUCUUUUCUAUUUUACCUUUCUUAACUUGAAAUACCUCUAGCAAAGAAGAAAUAUUGUCUCUAUAUUGGAAAUAUUCAUAGCAAUGUUAACCAUGUUGGAACUUUUAAAACAUUUCUAUUUAUUCUUUAUUUCAUAUAAGUUUGAGCAUAUUCUUUACUCUUCCCAAAUUCCUUCCAGAUCCCUUCCCACCUUCCUACUCAUCCAACCUUAUGUUCUUUAUCUUAAAAAAAAAAGGUACACACACACACACACCACCACCACCACCACUACCACCACCACAAGAGUUCAGUUUGCAUUUUCUUCCUCCUCCAAGCAUGGGGCCUGCUCUUGAGUGCAGUCGAUAUACAGUGGUGGUCGGCAUGGCACUUGGUGCUGAUUUGCUCUCCUCGGUGCUGGAAUUCUGUCAGGCUUGGGCUUGCACAGGCCGUGGUCAUGCCGUCAGUGUCUGUUGUGCUGAUUGCUUGACUCUAAACUGGCAGCAAUCCUCAACCACGAAUGAAGGCCUUUUUUUUCCUCUCAUGGUUCCUUGCUUUUCCAUGUCUUUCUCCCCUGCUUCAAAACAAUUUUAGUGUGGCUUUUCAUAUAUCUCUAAUUUUAGAAUAAUGUUAUUGUUCCCUAUGCAUAAAAGUAAAUGUGUUUAGAAAGUGCACUGAACAGAAUAUAGAAUUGAAGGCAUUUAUAUUUCAGAUGAAUAAAAACACGGUAUAGAGGUUGAAAAUAAUAAUCUAGAUAAUGUUAGAAUAUGCCAAUUUGACCAUGUACUUUUACUGCUAAACAAAAAUUUAUAAAGAACUAUAAACAACAGGAUUUCACUAGUUAACCCAGGCUACCUUGGACAUUGUCCUCUAGCUGCCUUAAGCAUUCUGAUUACAGGUGUGGACCACCAUGCCAGGCUAACUAUCAAAUCUUUUUUAGGACAUUUUUUUCCUUCCUUUCUUUUUCACAUUGUUAUUUGAGAAUUGGCAAUUUUAGACCUAUUUAUAGACUGUAACUGAGGGAAUCUUAAAUGUAUUGUGGGUAAUAUGAUUCAAGUUUGUCACAUAAUUGGAAAAGGAGAAGCUAGUGUAAGCCAUGAAAUAAUAAAUUAGAAUAGAGCUAGGUGUGGAUGUGUGUUUGUGUACAUACAUUUCCUAUUUUUUUCACUAGAAGUAGCCAAUUCUAAGUAAAAUGGUGCAGAUUGCUGGUAUAUACAGAUUGGUUCCAAAAAACGACCACUUUCUAGUGAACACCAGCGAGAGUUGGAAAAAUAGGUGUUUUGAGACAGGUCCAUUAAAGAUGAAACUGAGCCAGAAGCAUCUUAUGCCAGAUAUUGUUUGCUCAAAGUAUGAUGGGACAUGUCUGAAGAAUACAACCCAAAUGAAUAUCGCCUAUAUAUUAAACCUGGGAUAACUUGAUUUCUAUAAGACAUAGUUGAAAAGGGUUGUAAUCUAUACAGUACCUAUGCUGUACAAGUAGGGAGAAGGGAUUCUUUUCUGGUAAAUAUAAGUCAGGAAAGCAUCAGAAAAGCAGUUAGUGUAGUUGUUUUAAGUAAGAUUCUUCAUUGGUUGCUUAGCAUAAUAAACAAAAGUGAGAUGAAGAUAAGUUAUGUUCAUUUUUUUAUUGGUUUGGUUUCUGUUUGCUGAGACAAAAUCUCAACAUGGGUGACUAUGACGGUCUCUAAAUUGCCUUCCUUCUACCUAAGUCUCUGAAAUAGUAGAUAUGUUGCCAUUGCUUUGGAGCUUAAAAUAAAAUAGGAUAUGUUAGUAGUCUUGUAAAUAUCUCCAUAUAGUAUUUAUCACUUACCAAGAAGGAAAUAGUUAUCAUAGAUCUAAACAAUCUGGAAAGUAUCACCUUAGCCACAAAGUCAAAGUUAACCUGUAGUAGGAUAAACUGAUACCAUGCACCUCUCAUAAGAUGCAGUGAAAGAAUAAGAAUGUUUGUUUCUUGCUCCAAAUGUGAGGUCAUCAUGAAGAGACACCAGUCAUAAUUGAUUGCAAUUGGCUUCAGAGCACCAAUGUUAUGCAUAGUGAAACUUGAGAAACUGGUGUAACAGAGGCUGAAGUGACAUGCUCAUAACUUCAGCCAGCUUAGGAGUGUUUUCAUAAUGGUACCAGGGAGACUUUGAGUACGGGCUGUGUAUAAUAUAAAAGAGAGAAACACCAAUAGGAAAUAAGGAAGCAUUUCUUGUAGUAGGAAAAGCAGAGGAGUCAGACACAAAAAAUAAAAUAGUAGGAGAAUAGUUUUCUAUUUUUAAUGAAAACUAAUCAAAUCAAGAAACACAAAGAACCUGCUUAAUAUAACUAAAGAAAAAGGCACCUGGUGUAUUUGCAGUGAAGUCACGGGGAUUAAAGACAAAGAGAUUUUAAAAAGUAACAAAUAUGCAGUGAAAUUAGGGGCUGAGUGUGACAUAGAGUGCUUGGAUCCACUCCUUAGCAUCACACAUAUC